CUGAAGUGACCUGACAGUUAGCUGGCAAGUUUGUGAGAGUGACAGAAGCACCACUGCUCAUCACAUGAAUUCCUCCAGACACCCGGGCUCCAGCCUCCCUCCUAAGGCUUCAAACCUAAAGGUACGAGCAUCUUAUGCCCUGGGGGCUGAAUGCAUGGAAUGAAAUUCACAAUCUGCUCCAAGAAGAAAUGCAGUCUGUUCACCACCAUGUGCAAGGCACUAAAAUCCUCUCCAGAAGUCUUCCUCAUAUUGGUCUGCAGUGCUUCUCUGUGCUGGAUGUACUUCUGUACAAACACACCAGUGCUUGACAAGAAAGAUCCACUGUCCAGAACUGUUCGACAUACAGCUGAAAGCAA